AGAGUUUGAUCAUGGCUCAGGAUGAACGCUAGCUACAGGCUUAACACAUGCAAGUCGAGGGGCAGCAUUGGGAUAGCUUGCUAUUCCAGAUGGCGACCGGCGCACGGGUGCGUAACACGUAUCCAAUCUGCCCGUUACUCAGGGAUAGCCUUUCGAAAGAAAGAUUAAUACCUGAUGGUUUCCGCAGGCCGCAUGACCUGCGGAAUAAAGAUUUAUCGGUAACGGAUGAGGAUGCGUCCGAUUAGAUAGUAGGCGGGGUAACGGCCCACCUAGUCGACGAUCGGUAGGGGCUCUGAGAGGAGGAUCCCCCACAUUGGAACUGAGACACGGUCCAAACUCCUACGGGAGGCAGCAGUGAGGAAUAUUGGUCAAUGGGCGCGAGCCUGAACCAGCCAAGUAGCGUGAGGGACGACUGCCCUAUGGGUUGUAAACUGCUUUUAUCAGGGGAUAAAGUGAGGUAUGUAUACCUUUUUGCAUGUACCUGAUGAAUAAGGACCGGCUAAUUCCGUGCCAGCAGCCGCGGUAAUACGGAAGGUCCGGGCGUUAUCCGGAUUUAUUGGGUUUAAAGGGAGCGCAGGCGGGAUGUCAAGUCAGCCGUUAAACGGCCCGGCUCAACCGGGUCUUGCGGUUGAAACUGGCGUCCUUGGGUUCACAAAAGGCAGGCGGAACUCGUGGUGUAGCGGUGAAAUGCAUAGAUAUCACGAAGAACYCCGAUUGCGAAGGCAGCCUGCCGGGGUGCUACCGACGCUCAUGCUCGAAGGCGCGGGUAUCAAACAGGAUUAGAUACCCUGGUAGUCCGCACAGUAAACGAUGAAUGCUCGUCAUUGGCGACAGACAGUCAGUGACCAAGGGAAACCAUUAAGCAUUCCACCUGGGGAGUACGCCGGCAACGGUGAAACUCAAAGGAAUUGACGGGGGCCCGCACAAGCGGAGGAACAUGUGGUUUAAUUCGAUGAUACGCGAGGAACCUUACCCGGGCUUGAAUUGCAGGAGAACGAAACAGAGAUGUUGAGGUCCUUCGGGACUCCUGUGAAGGUGCUGCAUGGUUGUCGUCAGCUCGUGCCGUGAGGUGUCGGCUCAAGUGCCAUAACGAGCGCAACCCCUGUCAGCAGUUGCGAGCGGGUGAAGCCGCGCACUCUGCUGAUACUGCCGCCGCAGGGCGUGAGGAAGGUGGGGAUGACGUCAAAUCAGCACGGCCCUUACGUCCGGGGCCACACACGUGUUACAAUGGGGGGCACAGCAAGCUGGAUCGCGGCGACGCGUUCCGAAUCCUGAAAUCCCCUCCCAGUUCGGACUGGAGUCUGCAACCCGACUCCACGAAGCUGGAUUCGCUAGUAAUCGCGCAUCAGCCAUGGCGCGGUGAAUACGUUCCCGGGCCUUGUACACACCGCCCGUCAAGCCAUGAAAGCCGGGGGCGCCUGAAGUCCGUAGCCGUAAGGCGCGGCCUAGGGCGAUACUGGUGAUUGGGGCUAAGUCGUAACAAGGUAACCGUA
rnacentral:rRNA from 1 species